rnacentral:lncRNA from 1 species
AUGGGGCCCGCUCGCCGCAAUGCCCAACCCGCGGGCCUCAACCCCAGGAAGAGGGAAGGAGAAACCGCGUCCCGAGCGCGGAUGAGGGAGGUGUCCCAGGUCUGGACCUGUCGUGUCCGGGACAUAGCCAGCCUAGAAAGCAGGGAAGGACCUAACAGCCCCGAUUCGAGGAGCCGGGGAAGGACUUCUAGCGCCAGAAUCAGACACCCGGCAGGGGCCACCGCCCGCCGGCGCCCCGCCCCCACUCACCGCGCCCCCAAGUUCCGGCGCUGCUUGCCGCCGAGGUGGCUCGGCUCGCGCGUUCAGGGGCGCAGAGGCGGGUGGUGGUCAUCGCCGAGAUGCGGCGCUGGAGCGUUGGGCGCGCCGGGCGGGACCGCGCGGGGGCAGGGUUCGGCUGAGCCGAGGGGCCGGGUGCAGCCCCCAGCAUCUGCCUUACAGGUCCCCGGAGGCACAGAUGCGGACGCGGCGAGGCGCCGGGCAGCCCGUGAGGUGGUGAGAGCCACCGAAACGCCUUGACCUGGGCGGCUGACAGAUGAAGGAGUACAUUUGGGAGACUCCAGACUCCGGUAACUAGAGGACUUGAAAUAAGAUUUAUAUCCACUUUUCCAUUCAGAGGCCAAACCACAUUCAGGCCUCUUUUUUUCCCCCCUUAAUCAUGUUUGUGUAAGUGAGGACUGGUUUAUAAAGGCAUCUCCAUAUGUCAGUCUGUCUCACCAAGGGUGUUCAGCCCAUCUGUAUUUCCCCUAGAAUUCAUCCCAUACCCAGAUGCAGAUGUACACACACCCCUGACUAGCAAGCAAGGGCACUAUAGAGAAAGGGGGCUACAGAGGUAGCAUGCACAAGCUUCAGUUCAUGGCCCCCACCCAGACACAGCUUCAAAACAGUGCACUCGGGAGGCAUUCAUGUCUUGAAUUUAACCACAGAAGCCCAAGAAGUCCUACUUCCGAAUCAGCCUAUGAGGUUGAUCUUGUCCAAAAAUGUGAAUUUAAAAAAAAAAAAAAAAGGCUAGGGACUUCCCUGGUGGUCCAGUGGCUAAGACUCCAUGCUGCCAGUGCUUAGGACCCGAGUUUAAUCGCUGGUCAGGGAACUAGAUCCCACAUGCUGAAACCAAAGAUCCUGCAUGCCGCAACUAAGAACCGACAAAGCCAAAUAAAUAAAUAUUUUAAAAAAUUAAAUGUAAAAAA